rnacentral:misc_RNA from 1 species
AAGUCGUAACAAGGUCUCCGUAGGUGAACCUGCGGAGGGAUCAUUACCGAGUGAGGGCCUUCCGGGCCCGACCUCCCAACCCCAUGUUAUCCGACACUGUUGCCUCGGGGGCGACCCGGCUCUUCUGGCGUCGGGGCCCCCGGUGGAUUGUCAAACACUGCAUCUGUGCGUCUGAGUCAGAUGAUGAAUCAAUCAAAA